rnacentral:rRNA from 1 species
AACGAACGCUGGCGGCGCGUUUUAAGCAUGCAAGUCGAACGGUAGAGAGGUGCUUGCACCUCUUGAGAGUGGCGAACGGGUGAGUAACACGUAAGUGAUCUGCCCUGAGGUUGGGGAUAGCUCAUGGAAACAUGGGGUAAUACCGGAUAAGCUCAUGACCCUUGAAGAGGUUAUGAGGAAAAGAGCUACGGCUCUGCCUUAGGAUGAGCUUGCGGUCCAUUAGCUAGUUGGUGGGGUAAAGGCCUACCAAGGCAACGAUGGAUAGCCGGCCUGAGAGGGUGACCGGCCACAUUGGGACUGAGACACGGCCCAG